rnacentral:lncRNA from 1 species
GCGCGCACGCGCGCAGUUCUGGGGCAAUGUUGCGGCAGUCAAGCCCUCUCUGCACCAUGGGCCCCCCGGGCUCGGGUCCUCUCCGCUGCGGUGGCGGGGCUUCGGGAAGGUGGAGGCAGCUGUGGGUCUGUGGCUCUGAGGCCAGAGGGAGCCUUGCAAGGUCCGAGAGUGUGGGUGAGGGUUGCGGGUGGUGAGGCGGAGCGAGGGUGUGAGUGGGGGUGCGGGGCCCGGGAGGUGUGCUUGGGAGAGGCAGGCCCAGAAGGCGGGCGAGCAAGGCCCCGGCGAGGCCAAAGGGUGAGGUUUCUCCAAGAGCUGCCUCCACCUUUCCGAAGCCCCGCCACCAGAGCGGAGAGUACCGGAGCCAGCCGGGCCAUCGUGCAUAGAGGUCUUGACUGACGCAGCCUUGCCCCAGAAUUUCGCGCGCGCACACACACACAGACACACACACACACACACUCAUACGUGCACAGGCGCAGGCACACGCACAUACCACCGCCACCCACCCACCCACCGCUCCCUGUCAGACGCCUUGAGGCCACGUGCCUGAGGCCUAAGCCCGAGAAGGUCUGUCUGGCCCAAGCCCCUCACUCCAGGAGACCACCCGGCUCGGGCUCUGCCACCGCCGGGUCCAAGGCGGCCUUCGGUGUUGGGGACAGAGCCGGCCGGUUCUUGCCUCUCCUGCGGUGGCGUGCUUGGGGCUCAGGCCUGUCACCCUCUGGCCGCUGCCCGGGGACCCCUGCCAGGGCCGGUGCCAGGGACGAAUUCCAAAGCCCAGGCCCCUCCUUUUGGGCCCCGCUAGCCUCGGGGCCCGGCCCUGGCCCUCGCCCUUUGGCCUCGCCUGGGCUUUGCUCGCCUGCCUUUUGGGCCUCUCCCAAGCACACUUCCUGGCCCCACACCCAUUCCAUCACUCGCCCUGUAUCCCCAGUCUACACUUUUUCUUUCUCAGCUCCCACAACACUCCCCCAUACUCUCAGACCUCGCAAGGAUUUUUCUUUCCUCAUAGCCACAGACCAAAACCUGCG